AAGUCAAAGACUGAAAUUCGUUCAGCUCCUGAAAAAUACAGGUUUUCAAAUUUGUUAUUAACUAGAAUACAUGUUAGAACAAAACUAUGGUCUGUCGCUGACAAGGUCACGUUCAGUUUUGCGCGCUUUACGCGGAGGAUGGUUUUCCAACAUGUGGUUUCAUCCAGGUUAGCUAAACAGACGAAGCAGCUAUGACGUUAAAUGCUUUGGAUUGUGUAACAGUUUGGAUCGACGGAAUUCAAAGCCACACUGCCAGCGAACACUCAGCAAGAUCUCUAGCCAAGCUCAGCCCCCUGCCUUCAGAGCCCUCCCACUGAGUUAACCUGGACACGUGGAUGGAGAUCUUCCUCAUAUUUGCAGUGUGCUUUUAUCAAGCGCUGAUUGGUUUCCACAACAAACUUUAGGAAAGGACAACACCGCUGACAUGUUGUGAGCUAACAGACACAGCGUGUCACCAGCGCCAGAUAUUUACAUCGACACAAGCUGUUUUGCUGAGGCUUUUCUUUAAAGUGAGAGGCACAAAUUAGUCCGUGCACACAGAGGUUAGGAUGAAUGCAGUGACAGUCCUGAUCAAGCUAUUAUGGCCAGAUUAGAUCAGAGUUUAUCUUUCACCUUUUGAAAGGAUUUGAUUUCGUGGAUCUAAUCAAAUAAACAGUUGCAGCGGUUUGUAUUUGACCAUUUAUGGCACUGGCUGUCCGUGGAACCACAGUAUUUGCCUAAAACAAAUACUUGUUUGGCGAACAUGUUUGGCAAAAUGUCCAUUUGACUGCAGUGAAUGUGUGCCAUGCAUAUGUAGUGGUCAACGUCCUAGCAUCCUUUUAAAAGAUGCAUGCCAACUAAUGUGGAGAGCCUAACGUUAUUGUCACAUUGUCGUCUCAUUGUCGUUGUUUGUUGUACGUACCCAGUACUGUACAUUAAAUGUCAGGCAACUGUUUUGCAUUUUGUACUUAGUUGUGAGAGAAAAUCCUUUUAGAGGGGAAAAUAUAUUAAAAUACAGUACACUUACACAUCUGGUCUGUUUAAUAGUACUUCUUUGUUGGCUGUUGAAGUUUGAUAUUCUU
ensembl:lncRNA